rnacentral:rRNA from 1 species
UACGUAGGGGGCAAGCGUUGUCCGGAUUUAUUGGGCGUAAAGAGCGUGUGAGCGGCCUGAAAGGUCAGCUGUGAAAACUCGAGGCUCAACCUCGAGACGUCGGUUGAAACCAUCUGGCUAGAGUCCGGAAGAGGAGAGUGGAAUUCCCGGUGUAGCGGUGAAAUGCGCAGAUAUCGGGAAGAACACCCGUGGCGAAGGCGGCUCUCUGGGGACGGUACUGACGCUGAGACGCGAAAGCGUGGGGAGCGAACAGG